GUGAACACGUGCUGCUUCAACUUGCACAUGUGCUUUGGUGCUAGAGGAUUGAAGAGUAGAAAAUAUCGUCUUUCUUUAAAAUGCCUAAAGCAAAGAAGAAGACACAAAUAGAUGCUACAAAGAAUGAUACAAAGACUGAUCCAAAUGUUCUUGAUAGUCAAGAAUGCUUGACCCCAAGUUGCAGCAGCGCCAGUAGUCUUGGAUCAGGAUCAGUCUCCAAAGUGGAGUUCCUUGAAGCCAAGAUCCAAUGGCAAGAGAAAAUGAUUAAGGAACUUGAGCAAGAACGCAAUUUCUUACGUGAGCAAAUCAUGGGAGGGAA